AUAAUAUAUGUUAUGUAUUAUCAUCAAAUACAACUUGCUUUUCAAUAUUUAGGAUGAACACGAAUGCGACCACUUUCGUUUUACACGGAAACCGUCUAAAAUUUGACUAAAAUGAUGGGAUUGUGAAGAUUUCAGUAAUUUAGCAUGACUUAAUGGUGCUAGUAUCCGAUAUAUGUGCAUUCUAUUGUCAAAACCAGCUCAUAUUUAUGUAGCAGAAGCAUUCUACUGUCCAAUAAGUAACUAACAGUUUACCUUUAAACAAUUUUGUAAAACUGCUAUAUUUUGGGGCCAAAAAGGGGUCUUACUGGACA
rnacentral:lncRNA from 1 species